rnacentral:rRNA from 1 species
CCUGAUGACCAUAGCGUUUUGGAACCACCUGACCCCAUGCCGAACUCAGAAGUGAAACAAAACAGCCGAAGGGUCGGCCCCGGUCAAUGAUAGUGUGGAUUACCCAUGUGAAAGUAGAACAUCGUCAGGG